ensembl:lincRNA Gm44728 predicted gene 44728
AGUCUCUUCCUGCUGUCUGAUGAUCUAGAUGUAGAACUCUCAGCUCCUUCUCCAGCACUAUCUCUGCCUGUGUACCACCAUGCUUCCCUCCAUGAUGAUAAUGGACUAAACUUCUGAACUAUAAGCCAGCCCCAGUGAAAUGGUGUCCUUUAUGAGUUGCCAAGGUCAUGAUGUCUCUUCACAACAAUAGAACCCUAACACAGAAUGUCACUGCAUGGUCAUGCUGGCUUUAAACUCACAGUCCCAAGUGCUAGUAUUACAGUCGUGUGCCACCAUGCCUAGCUGUCAGAAGUUUACGAAGCUGAAGAAGGCCACACUCAGGUGUCUGAAGGACGGCCAG